GUGUACAAAAAUCACUCAAUAAAUAUUCGAUUCGUCAUCAUUACUCCAUUUGGGCCUACUCUGUAACAAAUUCAUAAAAAUAGGCGACAUGUAUCAACACUCUCUUAAUUGUCCAAGACCACCAAACCACCUGAUUUUCUUACUUUAAAAACAGUUAGAAGAAAAAAAUGAGAUCUUGAACUCAAGUGCUCGAAACAGUCCGAGGGCUGUUCUUGAAAGCGCAUUCUCUGCUGCGCUUAGGCAGUCACAAGACUUGGACAUCCAUGAACAAAAACAAAGACACUACAAUUAGCCGACAUAGGUCAGGGUCAAGCCCAUAUGCCACUAAACAACUCUGCAUUGAACAGGUCUUGCAAUUUUGGAAACUUAUUUCACCCGCCGUUGCGCGCUUCGGAUGAUAUUUUCCCCAAUGGAAAUCUCAGCAUUAAUCCUUCCCAUCCAAACUUGACAUUGCAACAUUGUUUUACCUAAGCAGGAAUAAGAAGUGAAGUGGUGUUCUUAGCCCACUUUCAGUGAUGGGUUUGGACGUAAAGGAGGGGCGCAUGCCAAAGGUAGCGACCACCAUGGAAUAAAUUAAACCAAAGAUAUCAACAGUUGCCUUCCACCCACUCGAAAUCGAUUGUAUUAGAACCUCGCUGAACGUAUAAAACGGGACGUAUGAUUUCAAGACCGGCUGCAGACAACGGAAUCUUCGCUCAAUAAGCUACACAACCGACAACGCCUAGAGAGAUUUGAUACAGACAACUCGUGUCCACUUUUCAGGACAUAAGGAUCCUUUAGUAACUUAAAUCAGAAAAGCCAUGCAGGCAGAAAGGAAAUGGCACAUACUUUUGAGUAUAAUCCUUAUGCUGAUCACCUCGAGCCAGUGCAUGGACAGCAAGGAAGUGAAGCAGAAAGGGAGAAGGACCCUGCUGGACCUUAUUUUACAGGUUAUCGGAGACAGCCAAUCAGGGGACAAGCCUUCAGUCUCCAGGCGCUAUAACAGUGGCCUCUUCCCUACAGCCCAAGAGAUGAGGUUCUCCUCUGGAGAAAAGCCUUUAUAUGUUCCUAGGCUGGAUAACAGUAGACCCAUAGGAAAUGGCACACUUUAUGAUUUGAAGAGAUAUUGUCCCAAGAGAUGUAAACCUGAAAGACAAGUUCAUAAAGCAUUUCACAGGACCAGUCAAGUUCUCAUCGGAAUGUAGAACACAUUUUCAUCGACUCUAUCACAACACAAGGGAUUGUUCAAAACCAGCAUACUACAAAAGAUGUGCAAGAUUGCUAACACGGCUAGCAAUGAGUCCACUCUGCACACAAUUGUAGACAUUGCAUGUUCAAAAUAUUGAGAGGGGUCUAUGUUUUGCCAAGGAAGUGCCUUCAAUUUGCAGCAGUCACAUUAAGAACAUAGUAUUGUAAUUGUUUAUAGUAUUUUUAUUUUUGUUGUUGAUACUGUAUAUGAAAAUGUUGACAGAUUUGAUUGGUUUUAUGAAAUAGAUUAGCAUUUUAUUUUCAUGUAUCAUGUAUUUUUAAGAAAACCUUAAUUUAAUAUUGAAUGCACCUAUUUAUUGAAAUGUAUAUAAUUAUUCACAAUAAUUCUGAAAUAUUCAAUUAUUUUUCUUAAAGUUCUCAUCUGAUGAAGUGUGUGAAUUCAUCUCACUAAAUAUUAUUUGCUUUGUCAAUAUUACAUUUUUGAGACGGUCCCACCAUGGUCGUUUCUAUAUGUCUUUCACUGUCAUUGUCUACAUUGCAUUUAAUUUGGCACUUGAACGAUUUCACACAAUGAAAACAUAUUGAAGGAUGACGAUGGUAAUAAUGCACUGCAGUACUGAACAAUAAAAAAAUAUUCAAGCACAGCAUAUUUGCAAUUAUUAUAGAAGAGCAUGUUGAGGGAACCAUUUCUGAGGUUUCUGCUGUUAGGACACUCAAUAAGGAAGCUGCAAGCAGGGCUGUAUCCCAAAUGACAUCCUAUUCCCUAUAGUCUACUACUUUUGACCAGAACACCAUGGGCCCUGGUCAAAAGUAGUGCACGACAAAGGAAAAUGUCUACCAAUUGGAUGAUACACCAUAAUCCAAACAUCCGCAUGUGACAGACACACACACAACUAUAUUUCACUCAAGAGUAUGCUGUCGGGAAGACCAUGAGGAUUGAGAAAAGCAAUCGUUCAGAGGGUUAUUCCAAUUCCGUCUGCACCUCAUAACCCCUACAAUUUCGGAAAAACAACACAAGUUUUAGGGAAAAGAGUGCAUGCAAAAUCCUUUCCUCAAUGUCUUAGCAAAGCCUAUAUUGAAUUUCCCAAUCUGUAGCUGACUGGGUUUCAAAAUCGCUGGCAAACUAAAUUUGUCCCUUGAGAACCCAAACGCAUUCCAAUCUUGGACUGUUGGACAACAGAAAGUGAAGCAAUUCAAACUCGACAAAACCAAAUGGACUGGAAAAGAGUCUCCUUUUUGAUCCUGUUCUGUUUCAAAUUGUAGGGUUCUUGACAGAAUUGUUUACUUGGUCUUUGGGCCAGGAUGCAUCUGACCUUUAUUUGAACGUGCCUUUCACAUUGACCCUCAUGCACCUGGUAUUAAACGUCCAGUGAUAUGUCUGGCAGUUACAAUAACUUAACAAGUGAGAUCGGUGAACAACAACAAAUUUUUUUUAUAUUAUUAUGGCUCAGGGAUCCAUGAGUUCAGUUAUCGGUAGAAAGAUGGAACACCCCUCCCUUUUGGUGCAUUGUGGACAAUGACAUGAUCGCUGGUAUAACAUGCUCUUGCAGUUGCCUGCUCAGACAUCACAAGAACAUUAGAAAGAACAUUAGUGUUUAUUUUCUGGUGUUAUCCAGGAUGUGGCCUCUGUAAAGGUCCUAAAUGUUGGUAUUGUCAUUUAGGACUCUUGCACAAGAACGACAAAACAACAACAAAUGAAAGGAAUAGCUAGAGACUUUAGCAAUUGAAGAAAAAAGAAGCUGAGACUUGUUGUCAUUGGAAUUUUGAAUAUAAAUACAUCUAGAAAUUAAAGGGACAUUGCACCCCAAAACCAAGUUUGUCUGGUAUUGCCGAGAAAUGAAAACAUAUUUAUAGCAUCUAUAACAGGAAUGUCCUUACAAAAUAAACAGUAUGAUAACUUUUUUAUAUAUUCCUAUUGCUAUCUUCUCCUAUCGUCUCGUUCAGACACGCCUGGGGAAUAGUUGAUCGUCCAUUGUUUUUAUUAACGCUACAGCAUACAAUUACAUUCUAGAUGAUUCUGUACUUCCAACUUUGUGGCAACAGUUUGAGGAAGUCC